UUUUAUAGGUCGCCUAACCCCCCAAUUGGGGGGGCGGAGGAACCAAGUGUUCGCCACGCAAAGCGAAGCGGACAUUGUGCAAAUUAAUCAUGGGGCGAAUCCCCCAAAUGGGGGUAGGGUCAGCUCUUGAUCCGAGCCCGACAGCUAACUUCGUAGGCGUCAAGAGAGGAACA
rnacentral:sRNA from 2 species